UGAUUACUCACUCCGUCUUAAAAAUUUUGUUUUAGGUUUGUCUAGAAAUGAAUGUAUCUAAAUAUUAAAAUAUGAGUAGAUACAUUCGUAUCAAGACAAAUAUAAGACAAGAAUUUUAGGACGGAGGAAGAACUAG
rfam:Hordeum vulgare subsp. vulgare, WGS project CAJW01000000 data, contig: morex_contig_55282